AUUGAACGCUGGCGGCAGGCCUAACACAUGCAAGUCGAACGAGUGGCGGACGGGUGAGUAAUGUCUGGGAAACUGCCUGAUGGAGGGGGAUAACUACUGGAAACGGUAGCUAAUACCGCAUACCAUCAGAUGUGCCCAGAUGGGUUUAGCUUGUUGGUGGGGUAACGGCUCACCAAGGCGACGAUCCCUAGCUGGUGUGAGAGGGUGACCAGCCACACUGGAACUGAGGCACGGUCCAGACUCCUACGGGAGUCAGCAUGGGGGAAUAUUUCACAAUGGGCGCAAGCCUGCUGCAGCCAUGCCGCGUGUAGGAAGAAGGCCUUCGGGUUGUAAAGUACUUUCAGCGGGUAGGCGUUACCCUCAGAAGAAGCACCGGCUAACUCCGUGACAGCAGCCGCGGUAAUUC
rnacentral:rRNA from 1 species